rnacentral:lncRNA from 1 species
UUUAGGGUUUAGUAAUUAGGAUUUAGGGUUUAGUAUUUGAAAAAUAUAAGUUGAGGUUUGGGUUUAGUAUUCAAAAGUUAGGUCUGUAAUUAGGAUUUAGAAGUUGUGUGUUGGGUUAGAGUCCUACACUAUUUAAAAGUUAGGUCUGGAUUUAGUUUAAUAUUAUACUAUUUUUAUAUUUUGAUAAUUGAGUUUAGGGUUGAUAAUUAAAGUUUAUAUUUGGGUUUAGUAUUUUAAAGUUUGGUUUGUGUUUAGUAUUUAAAAGUUGUGUAUUAGGUUAAUAUGGAAUGCAUUGUUUAUUGAAAAGUCUUAUAUUUUAUCUAUUCAUUUUAGUGUCAUUCAGUCACCUAAUUAUAGUUUAUAUUUGGAUUAUGAUUUAUGAUUCAGUAUUUAGGAGUUGAGAUAGUAUUUAGUAUUUAAGGAUUAUGAUAUGGAAUAUAACAUUCAGUACAUACAUAUGUGGUCAAUAAAUAUGUAACGUGGAUGUCUCUUUUUUCUCCACUCCUGACCAUAUAUUAUUUGUUAUAAUACUAGCCAUAUUUUUCUUUGUCUACGUCAUCUCACAUUCUUCCCUUUCACUUGCUACUUGUACGAGAAAUGGUUAAAACCGGAUCAAAA